UGAACUGAAAUUCUAAGCUGUUUUUCAUGGCUUCUGGGCAACCAAUACUUUAAUAUCAUGCAAAUUAGCAGUAAUUAGCAUACACCCUCUAGCCCCCCCUUAAGUUCAGCCAUCGUGCAGGAUAAACAAGGCGAACAUAGUUAUUACCAUUUUAAUUUGAUCAUAUUGUAGAAAUGUCAAAAUAUUAGCAGGGAAAAUUAACUCCUACAAUUUAGUAUAUGUUAUCCUGGAAUGAAAUCAAGGGUAGCAGGGAAUUAACUUGCUUCAAGUCCUCCCACAGUACUGCAGGAGUUCUGCUCCAAAAAACGUAACCAAAAUGCCCUCAUGCACUUACCUGGCAGGAAGUCGGAAGGUAUUUAUUUUGAUACAUGCCUUUCCCUACUUCCUUUCUAAGCAUGAAGAGACAGAAGGCUGCCUGAGUUGGUGGUAGGUUAGGUGGCUGCCAGGCAGCUGUUCCAGCCUAACCCAGCCUGUGAUUUUCUGCAGUGCCUUUCUGUGUUGCAUGGGGCUUACAGUCACUUACAACUCAAUUUUAGUUAACUAACUGAAAGACAAGUUGGAUAUUUUACUACUUGGGAAGAUGGGUGCUUUUGCCUUGCAGCAAGCAGUAUGAGGGGGCAGUCUGAGUGUGAUGUGUUUCUCUUGUGCUUCAGCCUCCUGAUUGCACACAGAAGUGCAUGCUGUCUGUACCUCUGGCACGAGAGCAGCCCCUGUCACUGAGCAGCUGCUUAACUUGUCUGCCUGUCUAAAGGAAGAAAUGGUGCCUCAUUAUUUUUCCACACAGAAGCCCUUACAGGUAUCACAGCUGCUUCAGAGUCCAGCGUACUUUGCUCCUAGAGGUGUCACAAAUGUGGGCUUCUUUGUAUGCAUUCAUUAUUUAUUGGAGAACUCAGUACUUGGAGACAAGCAACAUUAACAUUUUAAACAUCAAGAAUAUCACAUUAGAAUGUCAUUCAAAGUGACAAUAGGUUUACAUGUUAAUUAGGGAAUAUUUGUUGCAGAGACAGUGCUUACUGCACAUGGCAGAGCUGAACAGUGUAUGCAAGGAGCACUGUUGUGUUUCUGAUCAGGAGCAAGCAGGAGUCAGAAUGCCUCUGCAGAGCUGAGCAUGUGUCAUUUACAUUACACUGACAUGUGUUUGUCUUAGCAGUCAGUGCAGGCAGAGAUCUCACUGCUGAUGGAAGACUUUUUGCACGGAUCAAGCAAGAACGAGUCCUCUGUUUUCAGAAGUGUGCAUAUAUUCCCAAGGGUCUGCUAAGGGUGUAAAACCAGCGGUCAUUCGGCGUUUUGGGUACGUAUGUAUUUAUAACUUAGACACAUAUGUUGUGCCAUUCUUUAAGAAUGAAUUAAGAGGGAAAUGUCUAGUUUUGCCCACAGUAAGACUCUGAAGACGUUCAACCUCUCCCCCCUGAAAGCAUCAAAAUAGCAUUGAAUGCUGAGACAAGUGCUGUACUAUGAAUGCGCUCUGAGCUUGCCCAGCUCCUCUGCAGUUUGCAUGUUGUGAGCAGAGGCUCAUUAGGGUUUGGCAGUUGAGUUCUCUGAGCCUUGAGUGAAUUCAGUGCAACAGAACGUCCCUCCUUUCUCACUCAUGUGACUAGUGGCAGAGAGGCAACAUUGAGCUCGGCAGGAGUUUGUGCAACAGCUUCUUCACCACUGAGUUAAGGAAACAGCCCAGACCAUGUAGAUAAGCAGCUGUAUACCAGCUAACCAUGUACUUCCAAGGGUAUCUCUACCUUAAAUUCCCCACAGCAGUUUGCACUUGGGAGCAUUUGUCUCUAAUGACUUGUGAAUUGUUCCUGCUUUCUCUAUGAAAUAUAGUUAAAUACUUGGCAGAUUUUUAAAAUUAAUAUACAUGGUGGUUUGUUGUUUCUUCCCCUCUACCAUAAUGAGCAAUGCUACCUAUAAUUAGUAUAUGGCAUCUGUAUACGCACCUGCAACAUCUUCAUUUCUUUCAGUGUAAUAAUUUUAUAAAACCUGUAUACAUAAGAGCUGAAAGUGAGUCUUUCAUAUAUAAUCUUUUUUUUUUUUGGUAAAGAACCACAGCAUAUUAGAGAGGGAAUAGCACAACAUUCCAAAUUGUAUCUGUUGGAGUUUGUGACCAUUCUAUUGUUGGCAGUUUAUUGGAACAUGCAGAGUUUGAGUUGAAUACACUUAAUUUCAAGUGGUUUAAGCAGAGGGCAAAGACUGUCAACCUUCUGUUACUCUUCCAUCACCUUUGCAUGAUUUUACUUCCCUGCUGUAGCUUUGAAAAUUUUUCUGCAGAAAUCAUGCGUGUCCACUGCUGGGAAGACAGGCAAGGGUAAGGAGAGUUCAAACAUAUCUAAAAUGGAAUCUGCUUCUGAAUGCAAACAUUUGGCAAAAUAGCAUUGUGACAAACUGUAAAUACAAUGCUGUGUUUCUUCUGAUUGGUCACGUGGAGGGAAUGAAAACUUGGAUGAACAAUUUCUAAUCAGUGUGCACAGGAGCCUUUAGUGCUACUGCAGUGUUCACUCAGUUUCCGUUCCCCUGUACGUGUAACAAGCAGCAUGAAACUUAGUUCUUGAGAAGAAGAUGUUUAUGCAGAAUUCAAGGGUACUAGAUGCAAUAUUGUUCACUGAGAAACACUGAGAAGGGCUGAAAUCUCCCUGUGAACAGGUGUCUGAAAAAUUAAGAUGUCAAACUCCACAUUAAUUUCAGCUAAUCAACUGAUUGGGUGUCUGAUCAGCGCAACUUAUCUGACCCUGUAAUUUUCAUGGUUGCUAGGUAGUUAGUUUCCAACGUUCCUGAAACUGCAGCAUGAUAUGAUGAAUAAAUCUCUGACCAAUGGAUGUGUAUGAAAUCA
ensembl:lncRNA